ACACGACUACAUUAGAUACCCGGGUAGUCCUAGCCGUAAACGAUACUCGCUAGGUGUCGGCCACGGUGCGACUGUUGUCGGUGCCGUAGGGAAGCCGUGAAGCGAGCCACCUGGGAAGUACGGCCGCAAGGCUGAAACUUAAAGGAAUUGGCGGGGGAGCACCACAACGGGUGGAGCUUGCGGUUUAAUUGGAUUCAACGCCGGAAAUCUUACCGGGACCGACAGCAACAUGAAGGCCAGGCUGAAGACUUUGCCGGAUUAGCUG
rnacentral:rRNA from 1 species